rnacentral:rRNA from 1 species
GCGUUAAUAGCAUUUUUAUUUGACGUUAGCUGCAGAAGAAGCACCGGCUAACUCCGUGCCAGCAGCCGCGGUAAUACGGAGGGUGCGAGCGUUAAUCGGAAUUACUGGGCGUAAAGCGCAUGCAGGUGGAUGAUUAAGUCAGAUGUGAAAGCCCGGGGCUCAACCUCGGAAUAGCAUUUGAAACUGGUCAUCUAGAGUACUGUAGAGGGGGGUAGAAUUUCAGGUGUAGCGGUGAAAUGCGUAGAGAUCUGAAGGAAUACCGGUGGCGAAGGCGGCCCCCUGGACAGAUACUGACACUCAGAUGCGAAAGCGUGGGGAGCAAACAGGAUUAGAUACCCUGGUAGUCCACGCCGUAAACGAUGUCUACUUGGAGGUUGUGGCCUUGAGCCGUGGCUUUCGGAGCUAACGCGUUAAGUAGACCGCCUGGGGAGUACGGUCGCAAGAUUAAAACUCAAAUGAAUUGACGGGGGCCCGCACAAGCGGUGGAGCAUGUGGUUUAAUUCGAUGCAACGCGAAGAACCUUACCUACUCUUGACAUCCAUAGAACUUUCCAGAGAUGGAUUGGUGCCUUCGGGAACUAUGAGACAGGUGCUGCAUGGCUGUCGUCAGCUCGUGUUGUGAAAUGUUGGGUUAAGUCCCGCAACGAGCGCAACCCUUAUCCUUGUUUGCCAGCACUUCGGGUGGGAACUCCAGGGAGACUGCCGGUGAUAAACCGGAGGAAGGUGGGGACGACGUCAAGUCAUCAUGGCCCUUACGAGUAGGGCUACACACGUGCUACAAUGGCGCAUACAGAGGGCGGCCAACUUGCGAAAGUGAGCGAAUCCCAAAAAGUGCGUCGUAGUCCGGAUUGGAGUCUGCAACUCGACUCCAUGAAGUCGGAAUCGCUAGUAAUCGUGGAUCAGAAUGCCACGGUGAAUACGUUCCCGGGCCUUGUACACACCGCCCGUCACACCAUGGGAGUGGGCUGCAAAAGAAGUGGGUAGUUUAACCUUCGGGGGGACGCUCACCA